AUUGAACGCUGGCGGAAUGCUUUACACAUGCAAGUCGAACGGCAGCACGGACUUCGGUCUGGUGGCGAGUGGCGAACGGGUGAGUAAUAUAUCGGAACGUGCCCAGUCGUGGGGGAUAACGUAGUGAAAAUUACGCUAAUACCGCAUACGAUCUAAGGAUGAAAGCGGGGGAUCGCAAGACCUCGCGCGAUUGGAGCGGCCGAUAUCAGAUUAGGUAGUUGGUGAGGUAAAGGCUCACCAAGCCAAACGAUCUGUAGCUGGUCUGAGAGGACGACCAGCCACACGUGGAACUGAGACACGGUCCAGACUCCUACGGGAGGCAGCAGGUGGGGUAAUUUUUGGGAACAAAGUGGACGCAAGUCUGAUCCAGCCAUUCCGCGUGCAGGACGAA
rnacentral:rRNA from 1 species